rnacentral:tRNA from 1 species
GGAGAGGUGGCAGAGUGGCCGAUUGCACCGGUCUUGAAAACCGGCGUGCCGCAAGGUACCGAGAGUUCGAAUCUCUCCCUCUCCG